rnacentral:rRNA from 1 species
GUACAGGGUGGUGCAAACGUUGUUCGGAAUUACUGGGCGUAAAGGGCUCGUAGGCGGCCAACUAAGUCAGACGUGAAAUCCCUCGGCUUAACCGGGGAACUGCGUCUGAUACUGGAUGGCUUGAGAUUGGGAGAGGGAUGCGGAAUUCCAGGUGUAGCGGUGAAAUGCGUAGAUAUCUGGAGGAACACGUGGCGAGAGGCGAUCCUGGACCAACACUGACGCUGAGGAGCGAAAAGCCAGGGGGAGCAAACGGG